ACUUUCUGACCCAACAGUCCCCCAGCGCCGGACGCGCCGCGCCCUGGCGGCUCUAGGGACCCCCCCCGCGCCUGCACUUAGCCCCGCGCCCGAGUCCACAGACAAACGAAUUUAAAGGAGCAACCGAGGAGGCACCUGCGAAAGAAAGCCCACACACAGGUGAAUUUAAAGGAGCAGCCCUGGUGUCACCUAUCAGUAAAAGACUAUUUGGAGUUUUCCUCGUCUUACUGGAUGUCACUCUCGUCCUUGCCGACCUAAUUUUCACUGACAGCAAACUUUAUAUUCCUUUGGAGUAUCGUUCUAUUUCUCUAGCUAUUGCCUUAUUUUUUCUCAUGGAUGUUCUUCUUCGAGUAUUUGUAGAAGGGCCUUUGAGGGGAGGGACUGCACCUGAGUACAGCACCCAGGCGUCUUCUGCAGCCCACAGAAGGUUCAGCUUAGGGCUGGACGCAGUGGCUCACACCUGUAAUCCAAGCACUUUGGGAGGCCGAGGCGGGCAGAUCAUCUGAUGUUGGGAGUUCGAGACCAGCCUGACCAACAUGGAGAAACUCCAUCUCUACUAAAAAUACAAAAUUAG
rnacentral:lncRNA from 10 species